rnacentral:tRNA from 1 species
AUUUAAGUAGUUUAUUAAAAAUUCUAGUUUGUGGAGCUGGAGAAGUAAUUUUUACCUUAAAUA